rnacentral:lncRNA from 1 species
UCUCAUAGAGUUCGAGCAUGCGCGAGCCAACCGAUGAUGGUUGGCAUGCGUCCAGCCCUUGCCAGGCCAGCCCGGCCCACGGGGUGCAACAAGGACACCGAAUCGGCGAACAGGUGUUGAAAGGCUACAUUAGGUGUAUAUCUCCACAAUGUCUGAAAGGAACCGAUGGAUGGAGACAGCGACCUAACGGCCGGAGGUGUUGAGACUUGUGAGUCUGACUCGGACCCAGAUGGAGCCGCGCGCUCAAGACGUACCUUUGUGAGUGAGAUCUUGGCCAUUACAAAUAAAAUUAGAGAUGACAUGGUCCGUAAAAAUAUGUGGAGAGUUGAUACUAUAGCACAUAUCAGCUAACCACAAACAGAUUACGUUAUUUGUAAUUGGAUAGAGGCUCUUAAUAUAACAAGUAUAUCAAGGCUUAAAUGGAGAUAGUUUGUGAGGAUUCAUACUGACAUGUGUGGGGCUUGCAGGUAUGUAUUUACUCCCAUAUC